rnacentral:rRNA from 1 species
UGCGUAGGCGGAAAAUUAAGUCAGUGGUGAAAUCCUGCAGCUCAACUGUAGAACUGUCAUUGAUACUGAUUUUCUUGAAUACAGUUGAGGUAGGCGGAAUAUGUAAUGUAGCGGUGAAAUGUUUAGAUAUUACAUAGAACACCGAUUGCGAAGGCAGCUUACUAAACUGUGAUUGACGCUGAGGCACGAAAGCGUGGGGAGCGAACAGGAUUAGAUACCCUGGUAGUCC